rnacentral:misc_RNA from 1 species
UGGAUGACAUGGUAGGCAAUACUGAACAGGCAAAUAAUUUAUGAUCUUUGGCUAUUUUCACUUUUAAGAUAUUGACCUUCAACUGAGCGAAAUUGUAUUGAUGGAUAUUGGCACCCUGGGGUCCUGCCACAUUAUUUCUAAUAGACUGACUCGCUUCCAUGUACCUAUAAGUAUUUGCCAAACAUGUUUACCAAACCUGUCAAUGUAUUUUAAUAAAUCUAACUAAGUAGCUGUGUCCUGCUGUUGCUGGUGAAGGAAGUGGUGUUUUCUGGAUAUUUUAGCUAGAAUUUAAUUAAGAUGAUACAGUCGUGAUCGCUACAGAUGACGUCGUACUCGGCAGCCAUCUUGAAUAAACAUCACCACAGUAAUAUGAACGAUGACCAGGAGCCUUUGGUUUCUUCGCCACGCUAUACAAUGAAAGUCAGCAUAGAUCCCGGGAAUCUCAAUGUUGUACAUAAAGGAUGCAUCUUCAGUCAUUGUAACAGGAAAAGACUUAUUUUCUGCAUUGGAUUAUUAUUAACAGUGUUAACUCUUACAUGGACCCAAGUUAUAGACCUAUCACUUGUGGUGGACACUGUUUGUCCCGAUAGUUUGUUUUAUCCGAAAAUGUUAACAGAUUCUGAGGGUCGUCAGCACCCUGAGGGUACAGAACACCGCCUCCCCAAAGCUAUAAUCAUUGGGGUGCGUAAAUGUGGCACCCGGGCUCUGCUGGACUUUGUCAAUAUCCAUCCCAAUGUUGUAGCAGCAUCACACGAAGUCCAUUACUUUGAUAAUGCAACAAACUAUGCCAAAGGUAGAGACUGGUACCUUAAUAGGAUGCCUUAUUCCUAUCCAGAAGAAAUCACAAUAGAGAAAUCGCCAGCAUAUUUUAUAACAGACAAAGUACCAGAGCGGAUAUAUAAUUUCAAUUCCAGUGUAAAACUUUUAGUGAUAUUUCGCAAUCCAGUUACAAGAACUAUUUCAGACUAUACACAAAUCUACCAAAAAAGACUGAAACAAAACUUAACGACUGAAAGGUUUGAGCACCUUGUGAUGGAUCCAAUCACAUUGGAGGUUAAUACUAAAUAUAUGGCAGUGCAAAUAAGUAUUUAUCAGAAAUACUUGGAGAAUUACUUCCGUGUGUUCAAUAGGAACCAAAUUCAUAUUGUUGAUGGUGAUAAACUCAUAUCUAACCCAGCCAUGGAAAUUGCCAAAGUUGAAAAGUUUCUUGGUCUGGAACGGUUUGUUACACCAGAUACUUUUUACUUCAAUAAAACUCGGGGAUUUCAUUGUAUUAAGAAAGAUGGCGUUGAAAGAUGCCUUGCUGAAGGAAAAGGCAGGAAGCACCCUAACAUUGACCCUUUUGUAUUACAUAAACUGAAAAAAUUCUUCCAACCGCAUAAUAAAAAGCUUUUCCAAAUGAUAGGUCAGACAUUUGAUUGGGAUUAACGAUGCUUGGUGAAGAGGUUACAUGGAAAGGAUAUCUGUAUUUAUAUUUUACACAAUAUUCAAACACUGGAAUCUGAUGGUGUGUGAUAUGGAUUAAUUGUUACUUUUACAUAACAUUACAUUGGACACCAUGUACAUUAUCGGCCCAUGUCCGACAUUUCAACCAAGUAUAAUCCGUAUCACACACUUUGAUGUUCUAAGUCAUUUUUUUCUAUUGAAAAUAUUUUUAAUGUGCUGUACCAGGUUUGUGCCCAAUAUUGACUAAAUACAUUAAAUUGACUAAUUCAUGUGAAAUAAAGACACCGUUCAAUGUAUUGCCAUAUUUUGCCCUUCUUUGCUUGCUUGAGUGUCAUAUCAUUGAUUAGAA